CCUGUGAUUUAGGAAAACUCAGUCACUUCCAUAACUUAUUAGACAAUAUAUAUCUUAUUUUGAAGUGACUUUGCAGUACACCACGAGAUACCUUAGUUUUGUUAGGCAAUAGUAGACUUUUAAACUCACUUAUAGGAUCUUUUUCCAAGGAUCUUGCCUUUGAGGCAAUUAGGCACAAGGUAUAAUUAGCCCCAUUUUGUAGAUGAGAAAAUUGAGUUACAAAAAUGUUAGUUGUUCAGAGUUGCAAGGAGUCACCGAUGGAGAGAAAAACAUAUAUUUUCUCCAGCAUCAAGCUUAUGAAGAUCCCAAUAGACCUAAUUGUUGGCCUUUUUGAAGAGAACUCUUCUUGGCUUCUUUCCUGGCUUCCCUAAGUUGUUCAUAUACAAAGUAAACCAUCACUCAAACUCAGAGAAGUAAGAAGACAAGCCGAACGAGAUGUAAAAUGGUAGCAAGUCACAGGUAAUUUUAUAUCUUAAUUGCUCCCACAUUUUGUGAGACUAAUAAAUUGUGGUAUAUGGGGGUUAUUUGGAUCAAGUGUUUUCUAAGCAGAACAUUGUCAUAAUUAAUUUUGCAGUGGUUUUCCCUAUAUGUCUUCUCCAAUCAACCCAAUAAAAUUGAAUUUGCAUCCAUUUCAAAAGAAAGACUACGUUAAUGGAUAAAGAAUGAAGUGUUAAUAAAGUUUUUAUUGGUGGGAGCUUCCCUCUUUCUCAAGUC
rnacentral:lncRNA from 1 species